UCAAAAGUCACACCUACCCAUAUAUUGUUUCGCCACCAAAAUAUUCCCCUUUGUUCGUACGAAUUGAAAUCUGAUUCAUGAUUUUAAAGCAUGAAAACAAGCAUGUGGAUUGCCUGUAUGACGACAGUUCAAUGUGCUUUUUCUAGAGCAAAAUUGCAGGAAUUUAAACAACGUUUUCACCCCGCUAGAACGAUAUCGAUAUUGGGAUUUGGAACACAAU
rnacentral:lncRNA from 1 species